rnacentral:rRNA from 1 species
UUACCUGGGCUUGAAAGGGGAUCGACCUCCCGGGAAACCGGGAUUCUCUUCGGAGCGGUCUCCUAGGUGCUGCAUGGUUGUCGUCAGCUCGUGCCGUGAGGUGUCGGGUUAAGUCCCAUAACGAGCGCAACCCCUAUUGUUAGUUGUCAUCGGGUAAUGCCGGGAACUCUAACGAAACUGCCGGUGUAAACCGUGAGGAAGGUGGGGAUGACGUCAAAUCAGCACGGCCCUUAUGUCCAGGGCUACACACGUGUUACAAUGGCCGGUACAAAGGGCAGCUACUUGGUGACAAGAUGCUAAUCUCGAAAACCGGUCUCAGUUCGGAUCGAAGUCUGCAACUCGACUUCGUGAAGCUGGAUUCGCUAGUAAUCGCGCAUCAGCAACGGCGCGGUGAAUACGUUCCCGGGCCUUGUACACACCGCCCGUCAAGCCAUGGAAGCUGGGGGUACCUGAAGUCUGUAACCGAAAGGAGCGGCCUAGGGUAAAACCAGUGACUGGGGAGAAGUCGUAACAAGGUAGCC